rnacentral:lncRNA from 13 species
AAGAAAAGAAUGAGAAAGAACCUGCCUGUAGUAGAACUGGGGUGGGGACUGGCAGGAGGGAGUGCUUCUGUCAAACAAAUGGCAAGAAGGCCUUAUUUAGAUGAGCCCUCAGCAAGUUCAAGGAACUGAAGGAAAAGACCAUUACAGCUGGGGCAACAUGAGAAGCAUGAGAUGAAGCUGCAAAAAAACAGCAGGAGCAAGACUGAGCAGCAGCAGACAUGAUGUCAUAGAGUUUGGAACUGUUCCAAAUAUCAUUGUCCCAUCCUGCUCAGCAGCUGAAGAAGAAAUUUAAACUGUGAACAUGAUCCAGCUUACUUGCUUAGAAGUAUAUCUUUUUGCUGUAUAGACCAUCAAUAGUAUAAAGCUUAGCAAACUCUUGGUAAAUGGCAAGAAUAGAAGGUAGGCGGCUUCAUAAUCCAAGUUGGGGAGGAGGAGAUGGAAAGAAGUGGAUGUAAUCAAGCGAUGUUUACAGUACAGCAGAGAGGAAUUAGGAUAGGUUGGAAGAGAGAGGUGAUGGAGACUGAGAGAUCAAGAAUGUCUCUCCCUGUGGUUACCUGGACAACUGGAUAAACAAUGUGCCAUUACCUAAGAUGCAGAAGACAAGAACAGGUUUGGGGAGGAAAUCAAGAGUUCCUUUCUGAGCAUGUCAAGUUUAAACCUGCAAGACUGUUACCAAGAUGCUCGCCUAUUGCCUUUCACCUGCUGCCAUGAUUGUGAGGCAUCCACAGCCACAUGGAACCUAUUUUUCUUCCCAGUCUCAGGUAUGUCUUUAUCAUCAGCAUACAAAAUGGACUAAAACAGAUGCUAAGUGGAAGAUGAUUCAUUGCUGCAUUUGCUGUGGAGCUAUACUCUGUGGGACUCUGCCUGCUUGGCUGGCUUGGCUGCAGGGGUGGCUGCCCCAGGUCCUACCUAUUGCUUACAGACACAAUAGCCACCAGAAAACACUGGGAACAGAAAAGACACAAAGUAAAUAGACUGCUGGAGAUGCAGUCUGGCAUGUGCCAUAGAAACAAUCACCCCACCUGCACCAAUUUCUGUGCUUGAUUAGUCUGCCAGUCGCUAUGUCUCAGCCAUUUUCAGCCACAUCCUGUUAUUGGAAAAUGUACUGCAAUGUAUUUAGAGCGACGAAGUCCUAUAGUUUGUAUUUCACUCUGUAGUUAUUAUUCUU